AUGGGAAGGCUGGUGUACAUCAAUUCUGUGGUUACGGCAACCGCCACUUUCUUCUUGACGGUCUUCCCGCCUGACAAGUGGCUCACCAAAAAGGUGGACAAGCUGAGGAGAAAUUUCCUAUGGUGUGCGGAGGAUGAAUCAGUAGGGAGGAAAAGCCUUGUAAAUUGGAAACGAGUGUGUGCCCCCAAGCGUUUUGGUGGCCUAGGAGUGAAGGAUAUAGAUUGUUUCAGUAGGGCCUUGCGCAUUCGAUGGGAAUGGUUCAGGUGGGCUGAAGAGGAUAGGCCAUGGAAGGGUACAGCGACUCCAUGUGAUGACACUGAUCGGCAACUCUUCUCCAGCUGCACUUGCAUCGAGUUGGGAGAUGGUAGUGUUGCAACCUUCUGGAAAGAUCGGUGGCUCAAUGGCGAGGCCCCACAGCACCUAGCACCGGAUAUCUUCAAGCUGGCUAGGUGUAAACGGCUCACGGUCAAAGAGGCUAUAAGCACUGGGCGAUGGAUGCAAGGUAUACAGCGAAUGGACAGCCACGAGCAGCUAUGUCAAUUUGUUGGCAUGUGGGAAAAAUUGCAGCCAGUGAACUUGUCAACUCAAAGGGACAAAAUCAACUGGAAUAUCUCUGCCAAUGGAAUAUACUCGGCGAGUUCUGCUUAUGGGGUCCAAUUCUCUGCCAGGAUUGAGCAGCCUGAGAUUGCCCGGGUGUGGAGAAGCAAGCUAGAAGGGAAGGUGAAAUUCUACAUUUCAGUUUCAGAUUGGUGGAAGAUGCUUUGUACGCAAAGAGGAGCACCAGCAAGGACGGAGGAAGAGAUAACUCUGUCGGCGUACAUCGCCUGGCAUCUAUGGAAGGAGAGAAACCGUCGAGUUUUUGAGGAUAAGGACCUGACACCGAGGGCGUUGGUAAACAUGAUUCGUGAUGACGUUACAUUGCUCAGUGAGGCUUUGAGACCUACCCAUGCGGCAGAGGGGUAG
rnacentral:rRNA from 1 species